CCGACGUUCUUCAGUGUCGGCACCCACACGACCCCUUCUAUCACGUCUUGGAGGGUCCGAGCAACAUGGUCUGUCUGCACAAGUCUCGACGCAGCCUCGCAGAUUGAGCCAUGUACGUCCACAGUCAGGUUACUUCGGUGACGAGGCCGGUCCGUCUUCGGCGGCCCCACACCCUACCCCCCACUCGCAACGUACUACGGCACGUCAGCGUGGCCUUCUUCUGCUGCACC